ACGCACGCUGGCGGCGUGCUUAACACCUGCCAGUCGAACUGAAAGGCCCUGCUUGCCGGGUACUCGAGUGGCGAACGGGUGAGUAACACGUGGGUGAUCUGCCCUGCACUUCGGGAUAAGCCUGGGAAACUGGGUCUAAUACCGGAUAGGAGCCAUUUUUAGUGUGAUGGUUGGAAAGUUUUUUCGGUGUAGGAUGAGCUCGCGGCCUAUCAGCUUGUUGGUGGGGUAAUGGCCUACCAAGGCGGCGACGGGUAGCCGGCCUGAGAGGGUGGACGGCCACAUUGGGACUGAGAUACGGCCCAGACUCCUACGGGAGGCAGCAGUGGGGAAUAUUGCACAAUGGGCGCAAGCCUGAUGCAGCGACGCCGCGUGGGGGAUGACGGCCUUCGGGUUGUAAACUCCUUUCGCUAGGGACGAAGCUUUUUGUGACGGUACCUAGAUAAGAAGCAUCGGCUAACUACGUG
rnacentral:rRNA from 1 species